AUUGAACGCUGGCGGCAUGCCUUACACAUGCGAGUCGAACGGCAGCAUGAUCUAGCUUGCUAGAUUGAUGGCGAGUGGCGAACGGGUGAGUAAUACAUCGGAACGUGCCCUGUAGUGGGGGAUAACUAGUCGAAAGAUUAGCUAAUACCGCAUACGACCUGAGGGUGAAAGUGGGGGACCGCAAGGCCUCAUGCUAUAGGAGCGGCCGAUGUCUGAUUAGCUAGUUGGUGAGGUAAAGGUUCACCAAGGCGACGAUCAGUAGCUGGUCUGAGAGGACGAUCGGCCCCACUGGGACUGAGACACGGCCCAGACCCCUACGGGGGGACGGAGGGGGGAAUUUUGGAAAAGGGGGGAAAGCCUGAUCCAGCAAUGCCGGGUGUGUGAAGAAGGCCUGCGGGUUGUAAAGCCUUUUUGUCCGGAAAGAAAUGGCUCUGGUUAAUACCUGGGGUCGAGGACGGUACCGGAAAAAUAAGGACCGGCUAACUCCGG
rnacentral:rRNA from 1 species